CCUACGGGAGGCAGCAGUGAGGAAUAUUGGUCAAUGGCCGGAAGGCUGAACCAGCCAAGCCGCGUGAAGGACGCAGGUGCCAAGCAUUGUAAACUUCUUUUGUCAAGGGACAAAAUCAGGCUCGAGAGCCUGACCGCGGGUACUUGAAGAAAAAGCAUCGGCUAACUCCGUGCCAGCAGCCGCGGUAAUACGGAGGAUGCGAGCGUUAUCCGGAUUUAUUGGGUUUAAAGGGUGCGUAGGCGGGCUGUUAAGUCAGCGGUAAAAGCCCGGGGCUCAACCCCGGCGAGCCGUUGAAACUGGCUGUCUUGAGAUGUCGAGAGGUAUGCGGAAUGCGCAGUGUAGCGGUGAAAUGCAUAGAUAUCACGCAGAACUCCGAUUGCGAAGGCAGCAUACCGGCGCCCGACUGACGCUGAGGCACGAAAGCGUGGGUAUCGAACAGGAUUAGAUACCCUUGUAGUC
rnacentral:rRNA from 1 species